UACAGAGACUGCAAGCGUUAUUCGGAUUCACUGGGCGUAAAGCGUGCGCAGGCGGUUUGCUAAGACCGAUGUGAAAUCCCCGGGCUUAACCUGGGAACUGCAUUGGUGACUGGCAGGCUAGAGUAUGGCAGAGGGGGUAGAAUUCCACGUGUAGCAGUGAAAUGCGUAGAGAUGUGGAGGAAUACCGAUGGCGAAGGCGGCCAUCUGGACGGAUACUGACGCUGAGACGCGAAAGCGUGGGGAGCAAACAGG
rnacentral:rRNA from 1 species